rnacentral:rRNA from 2 species
AGAGUUUGAUCCUGGCUCAGAACGUACGCUGGCGGCACGCCUAACACAUGCAAGUCGAACGAAGUAGCAAUACUUAGUGGCAGACGGGUGAGUAACAUGUAGGUAUCUGCCCUUUGGCCUGGAAUAACACGAGGAAACUUGUGCUAAUACCGGAUAAGUCUUUACGGAGAAAGCUUUAUGCACCAUUGGAUGAGCCUGCACUUGAUUAGUUUGUUGGUGGGGUAAUGGCCUACCAAGACUGUGAUCAAUAGCUGAUUUGAGAGGAUGAUCAGCCACAUUGGGACUGAGACACGGCCCAAACUCCUACGGGAGGCAGCAGUGGGGAAUCUUGCACAAUGGAGGAAACUCUGAUGCAGCGAUGCCGCGUGAGUGAAGAAGGCCCUUGGGUUGUAAAGCUCUUUCGUCGGGGAAGAAAAUGACUGUACCCGAAUAAGAAGGUCCGGCUAACUUCGUGCCAGCAGCCGCGGUAAUACGAAGGGACCUAGCGUAGUUCGGAAUUACUGGGCUUAAAGAGUUCGUAGGUGGUUGAAAAAGUUAGUGGUGAAAUCCCAGAGCUUAACUCUGGAACUGCCAUUAAAACUUUUCAGCUAGAGUAUGAUAGAGGAAAGCAGAAUUUCUAGUGUAGAGGUGAAAUUCGUAGAUAUUAGAAAGAAUACCAAUUGCGAAGGCAGCUUUCUGGAUCAUUACUGACACUGAGGAACGAAAGCAUGGGUAGCGAAGAGGAUUAGAUACCCUCGUAGUCCAUGCCGUAAACGAUGUGUGUUAGACGUUGGAAAUUUAUUUUCAGUGUCGCAGCGAAAGCGAUAAACACACCGCCUGGGGAGUACGACCGCAAGGUUAAAACUCAAAUGAAUUGACGGGGACCCGCACAAGUAGUGGAGCAUGUGGUUUAAUUCGAAGAUACGCGCAGAACCUUACCAACACUUGACAUGUUCGUCGCGACUCUAAGAGAUUAGAGUUUUCGGUUCGGCCGGACGAAACACAGGUGCUGCAUGGCUGUCGUCAGCUCGUGUCGUGAGAUGUUGGGUUAAGUCCCGCAACGAGCGCAACCCUCACUUUUAGUUGCCAUCAUUAAGUUGGGCACUCUGAAAGAACUGCCAGUGAUAAGCUGGAGGAAGGUGGGGAUGACGUCAAGUCCUCAUGGCCCUUACGUGUUGGGCUACACACGUGCUACAAUGGUAUUUACAACAGGAAGCAAGACUGCGAAGUUAAGCAAAUCCCUAAAAGAUACCUCAGUUCGGAUUGCACUCUGCAACUCGAGUGCAUGAAGCUGGAAUUACUAGUAAUCGUGGAUCAGCGUGCCACGGUGAAUGCGUUCCCGGGUCUUGUACACACCGCCCGUCACACCAUGGGAGUUGGUUCUACCUUAAGGCAAGGUUUCAAACCCUUGACCACGGUAUAGUCAGCGACUGGGGUGAAGUCGUAACAAGGUAACC